rnacentral:misc_RNA from 1 species
CGAGUCGCUUUUCUGAAGAUUUCACGUCGAUCUUUAGUAUCUUUGUCUUCCAGAGAUCGAUUCGUUCCUGUACUGAAGUAGAAGAGUCCUGCCUUCUCUUUGUCCUUGCCGCCGACAUGGGGAAUUUUGCGUCACUUCUCCCAGAUGAAUCAGUAAUAGAGUGUAUUGACUUGGUGGAAGGUCAGUUCUAUGGCCUGGAAGGACCGCACAUGUUCUUGGGAUUUGAGGCAUUCCACCAGAGGACGGAGAGACACGUUGGACCGGCAAGAGAGCACGAGUCACUGGAGAGCCCGUCAUGAAGCCGGAAGACGUGGCCACUCAGCAGACCUAAGCCAAGACUGGCCUGAGCUGGAUUUCCUGCAGAGACUGCCACAGUUCCCCUUCCCCAUCCCCUCCCUUGCAGAAGUUGGAAGUACUGGGCCUCAUCGUGGCGCAAGGGUGAACACCCUGUUCAAACCACAAGACACCUGUCCUGCUGAAACAGGAGCAGACUGUGUGGAGAGGUUUGAGCUGGGUGGCCAACACAGUACUACACUCACCAGUGUGAAGGAUGAAUGGAGAGUCUAUAGGGGAGAGGAAGGCAGCAACCCCCUCCUCCUUUAGAUCUGUCCCUUCCUCAACAAACUUGCGGAAACUUUCACCGCCAACGUCUACCCCCACCAUCAACAUGUCUGUCGACAAAGGCGUGUUGGCGUGGAGUGGCAGUCUCAAGUCUCAGCUACCCAGUGUACUGCCCAGACAAGCCAGCUUGCAUGCCUAGCCCGGAGGUGGGAGCCAACAAACUCGCUCGUGGUACUAUCUGCCAACGUUUUCUAAACUUGGACUGUGUCUGUGCGGGGGGAAAGAGGAAGAGAGACAGCAACGGAUGCAUCUCCUGUCACUGUCCAGACCCCAUAUGGGACUUGGGGCACAAAUUAAUUGGGAAGAAAUAAAAAGUUAAAUUAGUCCUCUCCAACAUGGCAUCUAUAAAAUGAGACCCCCCCCCCCCCGCAAAAAAGGAGAAUGCUUGACUUCGACGCUUGGCGUAGAUGACGGAAUCUUUCUCUAUUUCUCUUCCAUAACAGACGAAGUACAUCAUGUUUGUCUUGAACGAGAAGAAAAUAAAGGGAAUUCACUUAGA